CCUACGGGAGGCAGCAGUGAGGAAUAUUGCGCAAUGGACGAAAGUCUGACGCAGCCAUGCCGCGUGAAGGAUGAAGGCCCUAUGGGUUGUAAACUUCUUUUGUACGGGAAAGAACGCUCCUACGUGUAGGAGCCUGAUGGUACCGUAAGAAUAAGCACCGGCUAACUACGUGCCAGCAGCCGCGGUAAUACGUAGGGUGCAAGCGUUAAUCGGAAUUACUGGGCGUAAAGCGAGCGCAGGCGGUUAUGUAAGACAGAUGUGAAAUCCCCGGGCUUAACCUGGGAACUGCAUUUGUGACUGCAUGGCUAGAGUGCGUCAGAGGGGGGUGGAAUUCCACGUGUAGCAGUGAAAUGCGUAGAGAUGUGGAGGAACACCGAUGGCGAAGGCAGCCCCCUGGGAUGACACUGGCGCUCAUGCUCGAAAGCGUGGGGAGCAAACAGGAUUAGAUACCCUGGUAGUCCACGCCCUAAACGAUGUCUACUAGUUGUCGGGCCUUAAUUGGCUUGGUAACGCAGCUAACGCGUGAAGUAGACCGCCUGGGGAGUACGGUCGCAAGAUUAAAACUCAAAGGAAUUGACGG
rnacentral:rRNA from 1 species